CCGGAAACAGCAACUAUGUUCUAAAUGAUGGAAAAACUGAACCUUGGAGAAAUUAAUACCCAGGGUCAUAUGGCAAGUAAUGGCCAAGGCAGAGAUUUAAACCCAGGUCUUCCUGACUUGCUGACUCCUGCCUGCCUAUCUACUACACCUCUGCCUUUAAUGGUUUUGGCAACUAAUUGGAUAUGACAACAGAGAGAUGGCUAAGUCUGGAUGACUUAUUCCUUUGGGUUAAGAACCCCAGGGAGUAGAUGGAAGGUGAACUGUCAAGGAAAGAACAAUGGACUUCAUCAGGCAAUUGAUGAGGAGCCAGGUAAUAGGUAGUGUCAUUUAAAAAAAAUAAUUUCAUUGAUCUUUUGUUUUUCACAUCACCAGAACUUCUUCAAGUAUAUUCCUUCCCUUCCUAUUCCAGAGAGUCAUCCAAUAUAACACAUAUAUAUUUAAAGAAGAUUAAAAAAAGGAAGAGGAAAAUCUGCAAAAACUGAUGAAUGCAUUAAAAAUAUCAGAAAAGAGAUGCAAUAUUUCACACCCAUGACCCUUCUACCUUUGUAGAAGGAUAGGGUAGGAAAGUCUUACCUUUUUUGGGUGGGACAUGCUGAUUCAUUGUAACUCUGGACAUUAACUUUCAAUUAUUUUAUGGCUGUUCUUUCCCUUUUUUUAGUCAUUUAAUAUAUUGUUUUCUUGAAUCUGCUUUUUUCUGCUUUGGCUCACCUAAGUCUUCCCAUGUUUCUUUGUAAUCAUUAUAUUCAUUUUUUCUUACAGUCUAGUAAUAUUCCAUUUAAUUAAGGGUCAGGACUUGUUUAGCCUUUCCCCAAUCAAGUGAGUAUCUCCUUUGUUUCAAAUUCUUUGUAAUGAAGAAAUUGCCACUAUAAAUACUUUGGUACCUAUGAAACCUUUCUUCCUAUCAAUGCUCUCCUUGGGGUAUGCCUAGUUGUAGAGUCUCUGAGUCAAAAGAUAUGGACAUUUUAGUCAUUUUAUUAUGGAGUUUCAUUUUUGCCCUUAUACCCCUGCACCUAGCACAAUUCUUUGCACAUAAUGAGUAUUUAAUAAACGUUUGUUGAGUUGAAUUAAACUGAGGAUG
rnacentral:lncRNA from 1 species